GGUAAGGAGGUGGGUUUCAUCCCUCGGCAGUGGGUUGGGGAGACCGCGCGGCGCCCGGCCGCGUGUGCGUGUGCUCUGACGGGGGGCCGUGACCCAAAAGAUGCCUGGGGAGCCGAGGAAGCUGCCCUUGUCGAUACUUUGCCCCCCUCCAUACGUUGGGGAGCAGUGAGCAGUGUUGCACACUGCUGAAAUACAUGCAUAUGUUUUCAGAUGAGACUGCCUGAGCCUAAAUGCAGUUUUAAUGUGUGCUUGCAGAAUGCAAUGAGGUUGUUGCCAGCAUGGUAAAACGUGCUUGAUCAGAAAUCUAUCAUCUCAGUAAUUGUUACGUGGAAAUUGUUGUCUCCUUUUCUUUCUUCCUCCCCGACUCUUGGAGGAUAGGUUACAAACAAUCUCAAAGACUGUGUCUCAUGCAAACAGAAAAGCAAUGGUUCCCUCACGUCUGGAGAACGCGGUGACAGCAUAUAGUGCAGGAGUAAGAAAACUGGGAGAACUUGAAUUCAUCUCCUUUUCAAAGAUCUUUUUCUCCCAAACAAGCUGAAGAAAGGGAAGAAAGCCAGAGGAUGCUUAACAUGAGAUUCCGAUGGAGCGUGAUAUGGCAACGCAUGGCAGAAGCUCUAGCUUAGAAGCAACAGUGCCAAUAGAAAUCAUAUUACAGUGGCCAUGAGGAAAUGCGUUCCCAUGGUAUCAUCAGAGGAACGACAUCCAGCACCAGAUUUUCCUGCCAACCAGAUACAUGGGCUAAGAAUCUGGCAGUGCAGUAACUUGGCACUUGUGACUGCAGCUGAUACGUUCACAUCUUAAGAAGGUCAGUUAAAUUGCUUUCAGUUUAUUUUAAAAACUCUCAGCGCUUGCCUACAGACAUGAGGGACUAAAGAAUAAUGACUACUCAAAACCAAAGGACGUACAGUAGCUGCUACCAUCUGAAAAACAAACAUUGUGUGGACAAAGCACCUUCCUUGUGCCAACUACACAUUCCCAACGUUGUUCCUGCUAUUGAGAAGUUUUUAAGUCAGAUGUUACGUUCACCAUAGUAGCGCCACGAUCAUCUUAUCUUUCUUAAAUAAAGAUGCACCUUAAGAACAGAUAAUUCUGGUAGUAGAUCAAUGGAAACACUUUUGUUUGUUUUUCACUAAUGCAGAAUGGGUAGCUAAAACAGAGACAACACUACUGAAAAUACGCUCUUAUAAACGAAGUGUACCCCUGAGCUAUAACUGUGUGUUCAGUUCUGGGUACCCAGCUCAAGAAAGACAUCAAAAUACACGUGGUAUUUUGAAAUAGACACUCACUAGAAAAUGGAAAAUACAAUUCUAAGAAUGGAAAAGACUAGAACUGCGCCUUCAGGGGGAAAAAAAAACUUAUGUGAAGAUAUUGAUAUAUUGGUACCACCUCUAUAACCAGUGCAAAGAAGGUAGGUGAGGCACUAUUGCCUAACUCUCUCCUUCUUAGUGAAGGAAAAUAUACAAAUUUUAAAAUAUGGAAAAAAAAUUGAACUUUCAUGGCCUAUCAAACUGUAUUUUUUAGUUCUACAAGGCAAUACUGAUGCCAAAAUUUAUGUAAAGUUAAAGAUUUUUAACUACUUCUUAAUGCCACUAUGAAUGGGUGUCCAAACACACACACGUAGUGACAUUUUGUCAGGAUACAAGGCUUUCUGCACUGCAUAUAGAAGACCCUGUAAUUAUUAAGGCCUAGGAGGAACCUGUCUGUGUAUGACAGGCUAUUCUACAACUUCCUUCUGCAGGAAUUCUUGUAUCAUCAUCAUCUAACACAUGUGACAAUGACCUGUCUCACUUGUUCUUUCUGUCCACUAUUUCCAAAUUUUCUUCUUUUGGAAGAACUUUAUAGAAAUCUGAAAAAAGCCUUAAUAGUAUAAAAGAUACUUUGCUAGUUACUAUAAUUUUUCCCCUCUGGGGAGGUACACAAAAAACAUUUAGAAAGCUAUACUGAUAUGAAAAUGUUGAAAGAUUUUUUUUUCCCCCCUGUGAAAAGCAAUUUAUUUUGAUGUCUUGCAAACAGAUUUUUAUGUGAAUAUAUAAUACACAUAUGGGAAGAUGUCAGUAUAGCCAUUUGGUAAUGGUUAUAUUAAGAGAUCAUCAUAGCUUAUUUUUCUAUGAUCCCUUAAAGCAAACUGCAGCAUCUUUAGCUGCAGCAUGGUUUUCAUUAAAUUACUCAGCUGCAUUGGCUUGCUUUGCAAUUAUCAAUCAUACUUGUUAUUUUCAUGGACCCAUAAAUCAGUCAAAUAUUCUAGAAUUAAAAUGUCUUAACAACUCCCUCAAUGUUUAUUAGAGUUCUUUUGUGAUAAUUGGACAGGAAUUAUACUUACUUGAGGAGUAUAGUUAGCUUUAAAUUAGCAGAGCUGCAUAGAGUUCUAUCUAGCAAAGAGAACAGUUACUCCCCAACUCCACGAAACUGUCUAUAGAAGAAAAAAAUUAUGAUGUGUGGUUUUAGUAGAGUCAGUGGCUCUUUUAUGAGGUCACCAUACAACUGUGGCAGCCUGAGAACAGAAGUGGAAUGAAUGAAUUUUUGGAAGUCUGCUUAAUGACACUUUUUCUUAGAGACCAUGGAAAAAAGUGGGAUAGCACAUAAAAGAACACAUUUAUGUAAACAAGAUGCAUCUCUCAUAACAUUAACUUUAGGUAUUCACACACAGACCUAUUGGAUACAUCAGACUGAGUAGAGCAAUUAGUGCUAGCAGCCAAGUGUUCUUCCUUUUUUCCUCCAGUUCAGAAAAUUGAGGCCGAUGUUGUUUAUUAUUGUCAAUACUAGCCUAGAGGGACACAUUCAGCAGGCAGAGUAGAAUGUAGACUCCUUAAAAGGAGUUCUGAUUUUACAGCAGCUAUCACCAUCGUUUAUAAACUGGACUAAAGCUUAAUGUAGUUUUAGGGUUAAAAAAAAUUACAUCAAAAACCUUUUAUUCUAGAAGCAUUUUUAAUUUCACUUGCACAUGUCAGUUGAAACACAGAACGUUAUCAGUAAAAAACCGAAGAUUUCUUUCCUAACAUUUCACAGUACAUUGGUUUCCAAAUCCGUAUUUUUCUGUUAAGGCAACCUGCAUUAAUUAUGAAUCGACUCUGCAUACUAGGACAGUAUUUCCAAAUAUGUACAAACCACCAUAAAAUAACUACUAAUACAGUUACCAUAGAAAAAGAUAAAGUCACAAUAGAAGUAAAAACGUAAACAUGUUACACUACUGUCUUUAAAACUGCAAAAUUUACCACCUACCAUCCCAAGACAAACAGAACAGCUAAAGACAUUAGGUGCGAUAUAAAAAGUUACUACAGUAAGUCUUUGUUCAGCCAAUAUUUCAGAAGUCGCAUUAAGAAACUGUUCAUGUUUUGUGAAAUGUAUAUUCAACUAAAGUUUGGACGAGCAGAAGAAGAAUUCAGGCUGACACUCAUCUCUACCCUACUGCAAGAUUGCAACCUCAUUACUUAAUUGCUUUGAAGCAGAAAUUAAUUCAUUCUAGCAGAGAACAAGCAGGUUCAAUUUUAAGAGUGGGCUUGCCACGCUCCUCAGAAAAGUACCUCAUCACAUGCAUAGUUCAUUCAGCAGUAGCAGAUGAACAAGAAGCACAAAGCCACCACCAUCUUCACUGUGCUACGCUCAAAAUUUGAGCGGUUUAUUAAAGGUGUAAUAUAUCUGAACAAAUGCUAUUUUUCCCUAGAAUCCAUGGCAAGACAGCAGCACACUGACUUGCCUGCAGAAAUGGGAAUAGAGGGUAAGGGAACUGCAAGGGCUGGGAAGAAGCCACAGGCUUCUUGCUGUAUUACAAGCCUCAUCACAGCAGGAGGCUGGCUAAUAGCACCUUCUUCCUUUGAGAGUUAUUUUAUGUUGCUGCAUUGUUUGAUUACAGAUGUUAAUCAAAUUACUUUUUUUUUUUUGAUUGCUGAUACUUUGAGUCAUGAAAUUAAAGCACACUCAUGACUGAGUAUAACUGAUAAGAUGGCUUAAUUGGUACCUUCUCUUUUAGCACCCAGAAGCAGUAGAUAGAAGAUUUCCACCUUGUCCCUUAAGGAAUACCUGCAUUCUACCCCUCUGGCCAUAUUUUCUCCCUCAAGAUUCCCUCUCACCUCCAUUAUGAAAGACGAAAGUUGACAGCUUCCUCAGCCCCACGCAGUACCAAGACGGGCUUCAGCAAUUGCCUUGGGCCACAUCCUUAAAACCGAGAGCCUGGGAAAUGAACGAGUGCAAAGUCUAAAAUGUCACUAUAUACCCACCUUCAGUAAAAGAUUACACUGCCACAUAGCUGUCUUCCUCUUAUGGGUACAAGCAAUUUAUUAGCAGUAUGCUUGCUUUGAAUAUUCAUCCUCAUUAUAGUCAGGGAAACUUGACAAAAAACAAAGCAGGAGUUUUAAUCUCUGAACAUGCCUGUGUAAUCAUAAGAAGGGGACUGGUAUCAGUAAUAAAGUAUUACAGUUAUUCACUAUAGAGGAAAGUCAAAAAAUUCCAGUUCUCUCUCACAGAUAGGUCUAAUUAGACUACUAAAAAUUGUUCUGUUUUAUUACUAAAAUUUAUAUUCUCUUGAGUAGACAAAGGAGUACAAAUGUAUUCCCUAGAACUGACUUUAUUCUAUUGCUAAGUUCAAAGUUUACUGUUGGCAUGCAGAUUUUAUCAGUUAAACCAAGCUCCUCAACAGAGGGUGCAAAAGCAAUGAUAAAAAGGUAAUACAUAAGGAGAAAAAAAAAAGGUUAA